rnacentral:other from 1 species
AAAUCCCUGCGGUUCGCGUAGGCAAAAGGUUAAUAAAAACCAACGUUUCACAUUAGGGAGCUUAAUCUCUUUUCGCGGCGCAAAUGCCCCCCUGCCGUCAAACGAUUUUUCGUUGCAACGAUAGUGGGCUUGUUCCAAAAUCCUUGCCGACGGUAUGGCCAGGGGACUUGUAAGACGAAAAGGCUGCACCCACCUGCUAGAGCAGGUUUUUCGAUUACUUUUGCUGACGGUCCUACGCGGGGAUUUU